UUACGACCACAUCAACUUGAAACACCAGUUGCUGUACAAUCACUGAAGUUAAGCAACGCCGAGCCCAGUCAGUACCUAGAUGAGUAACCACUUGGAAAUACCAGGUGCUGUAAU